rnacentral:rRNA from 1 species
GGUAACGUACCCCGUGCUUUGGGAUAAUGUCGCUGGCCGAAAGGUCAGCUACCGAAAGGGGCACUAAUACCGAAUAAUAUCAUCGGCUGACGGGUCGAUGAUCAAAGUUUUUCGGCGCGGGAGCGGCCUAUCUCCUAUCAGCUUGUUGGUGAGGUAAAGGCCCACCAAGGCUAUGACGGGUAACGGGACUGAGAGGUCGUUCCGUCACAUCGGGACUGAGACACUGCCCGGACCUCCACGGAGGGCUGCAGUAACGAAUCUUGCGCAAUGGGCGAAAGCCUGACGCAGCGACGCCGCGUGCGGGAAGAAGUCCUUCGGGAUGUAAACCGCUGUCAGGGGUAAGAAAGUCCGUUUCGGCGGAUUGAUCUAUCCCAGAGGAAGUCACGGCUAACUCUGUGCCAGCAGCCGCGGUAAGACAGAGGUGGCUAGCGUUGUUCGGUGUCACUGGGCUUAAAGCGUGUGUAGGCGGACCUGUAAGCAUUUUGUGAAAUCCCCCGGCUCAACCGGGGAAUCGCUUGAUGUACUGCAGGCCUUGAGGCAAGUAGGGGUGCGUGGAACUCUUGGUGGAGCGGUGGAAUGCGUAGAUAUCAAGAGGAACGCCAGAGGUGAAGACGGUGCACUGGGCUUGUCCUGACGCUGAUACACGAAAGCGUGGGGAGCGAACGGGAUUAGAUACCCCGGUAGUCCACGCCCUAAACGAUGUCUACUAGGCUGUGAAAGUUCUGACACUGGCACGGCCGAAGCAAAAGUGUUAAGUAGACCGCCUGGGGAGUACGGCCGCAAGGCUAAAACUCAAAGGAAUUGACGGGGGCUCACACAAGCGGUGGAGCAUGUGGAUUAAUUCGAAGCAACGCGAAGAACCUUACCUGGGUUUGACAUGCUUGGAUGCCUUUCUGGAAACAGAGUAGGUUGCCCGCAAGGGUGAAACUUGCACAGGUGCUGCAUGGCUGUCGUCAGCUCGUGUCGUGAGAUGUCGGGUUAAGUCCUUUAACGAGCGAAACCCUUGCCGUUAGUUGCCAGCGGGUCAUGCCGGGAACUCUAACGGGACUGCCGGUGUUAAGCCGGAGGAAGGUGGGGACGACGUCAAGUCAUCAUGGCCUUUAUGCCCAGGGCCUCACACGUGCUACAAUGGCGACUACAAAGCGACGCAAGGCCGCAAGGCGGAGCAAAUCGCAAAAAAGUCGCCUCAGUUCGGAUUGCAGGCUGGCAACUCGCCUGCAUGAAGUUGGAAUCGCUAGUAAUCGCGUAUCAGCUACGACGCGGUGAAUGUGUUCCUGAGCCUUGUACACACCGCCCGUCAAGUCAUGGGAGUUGGGAGUACCCGAAGCCGUGUUGCUAACUCGCAAGAGAAGCGCCUGUCUACGGUAAGCCCAAUGACUGGGACUAAGUCGAAACAAGGUA